GGCUACUCUGUCAAAUUGAAAGUCUUCAGUGCCCCAGUCACAAGGACUACCUUCCCGCGCCACUCUGCCAGGAGACAAGGAAGACUUUCCCCUUUGUCUCUCUGCAAUGGUUACUGCAGAUGCCCAUCUUCUGCGUCACCAGCCAAUUGGUCAAUGGAGCAUGGAAAGAGUACCUUCUUGUCGGAUGCUACCCAUGGCCGUAGGACUUUUCACCCUAAAUGUGAUUCAGGAUGAAACCCCUUCCCAGCGCCGACCUGCCUUCGGACUGCCAGCCAGUUCGCCAGAGUCAUUUCACCACCCCAGCCCUAAAUGCAGCCAUAAUAACUCAAGUUUUCGGAAGAGGGCGACUCUUUUGCGCACCUCUCCGUCUCUGCAGACCCUUGCACCGGGAAUACUUUGUCCACUAGCCCACCUGCAAGAGUAAGGGCUCUUAGGCCGGGGAUUUAGCUCAGUAGUUCUGGCGCCUGCCUCACAAGUGCAAGGACUUGAGUUCGAUCCCUGGUACCAAAAAAAAAAAAAAAAAAGAGUAAGGGCUCUUCUUUUCUGCGGUUUCAGUUUGGGGGUCCCUACCACCCCAGACACCCGGAAUCCCCCUCAAAACUCAGGGCAGCAUUGGUCACGUGAUAUCUCGACCACUCUGGGUCUCGAACCCUGUGUGCGUAAGGAGUUGGGUGGUCGGGCCUCCUCAGGGUUGAGGCCGACACCGGACGCGCUGCAGAAAAUGCCCUCGGGGGCUCCUGCGAAGCCCAAAGAGCAGAACUCGGGAGGCGAGACGACGCGGUUCCCUCAGGAAAAGAAGGGGAUGGCUGCCCAGGAUCCCCACAGAAAGACUGUGACGUUACAGGGCUGCCUCCUGGGGGACACUGCACUAAGGGAGUCUAAAGCGGGCACACGGUGCAGCACAUCUGUAAUCCCAGCCACUGAGGCUGAGGCAGGAGGAUCGCAAUCUCAAGGCCAGCCUGGGCAAUUUAACAAGGCCCUGUCUCAAAAAAUUAAGUGGGGCCAGGGAUUUGGCUCAGUGGUUCCGGCGCCUGCCUCGCAAAAGCAAAAUCCCGAGUUCGAUCCUCGGUACCAAAAAAAAUAAAAAGUGCUGGGGAUGUAGCUCAGUUCUCGGCGGUGGGACUUGGUGGCAGAGCGCUUGCCUAGCAUGCAGAGACCCUGGGUUCCACCCUGGGCAUCACAGAAUUAAAACAUAAAAGAGCGCGAGCCUUGGUUCAUGGGGUCGGCAGAGGACUCCCCCAAAGGUGGUUGAGAACACUUUCUCCCGGCUGAAAGGGAUUUCCGGAAAUAAGGGACUUCGCGGAAGCCAAGUUUGAAUUGGCGUCAAAGGCAUCCAAAGGAUGAGCCAGUGAUGGUUUGGGGGAAUAAAGUCUGAGAGGGAAAUGUCCGAUGGGACCCUACACAACUUCCAGUCACGCUAGGACGCCAAAGCCCGCGGGACCCAGCCCGGCGGCCGCUCUCACCACGUGACGCGCGCGGCGGGCGGG
ensembl:lncRNA